ensembl:snRNA U6 U6 spliceosomal RNA
GUGUUCGCUUCAGCAGCACAUACACUAAAAUUGGACCAAUACAGAGAAUAUUAGCACAGCCCCCAUGCAAGGAUGACAUACAAAUUCAUGAAGUGUUCCUUAUUAAA